CCCUUAGAUGUUCUGGGCCGCACGCGCGCUACACUGAUUCAUGCAACAAGUUUUGUCCUUGGCUGAUAGGCCUGGGUAAUCUUUGAACGUGAAUCGUGAUGGGGAUAGAUGAUUGCAAUUAUUCAUCUUCAACGAGGAAUUCCUAGUAAACGCAAGUCAUCAGCUUGCAUUGAUUACGUCCCUGCCCUUUGUACACACCGCCCGUCGCACCUACCGAUUGAAUGGUCCGGUGAAAUCUUCGGAUCUGAGAGAUGUCUGAUUAAUUUCGGACGCCUUUUGGAAAAGUUGCUUAAACCUUACCAUUUAGAGGAAGGUGAAGUCGUNACA
rnacentral:rRNA from 1 species